AACGAACGCUGGCGGCAUGCCUAACACAUGCAAGUCGAACGGAUGCAGCAAUGCAUCAGUGGCAGACGGGUGAGUAACACGUGGGAAUCUACCCAGUAGCCUGGAAUAACCGCGGGAAACUGCGGCUAAUACCGGAUACGCCCCUCGGGGGAAAGGAGCAAUCCACUAUUGGAGGAGCCCGCGUCCGAUUAGCUAGUUGGUGAGGUAACGGCUCACCAAGGCGAUGAUCGGUAGCUGGUUUGAGAGAACGACCAGCCACACUGGGACUGAGGCACGGCCCAGACUCCUACGGGAGGCAGCAGUGGGGAAUAUUGGACAAUGGGGGAAACCCUGAUCCAGCAAUGCCGCGUGGGUGAUGAAGGCCUUCGGGUUGUAAAGCCCUUUUGGCGGGGACGAUGAUGACGGUACCCGCAGAAGAAGCCCCGGCUAACUUCGUGCCAGCAGCCGCCGUAA
rnacentral:rRNA from 1 species